rnacentral:rRNA from 1 species
GGGUUGUGAGGUUAAGCGACUAAGCGUACACGGUGGAUGCCCUGGCAGUCAGAGGCGAUGAAGGACGUGCUAAUCUGCGAUAAGCGCCGGUAAGGUGAUAUGAACCGUUAUAACCGGCGAUUUCCGAAUGGGGAAACCCAGUGUGACUCGUCACACUAUCAUUAACUGAAUCCAUAGGUUAAUGAGGCGAACCGGGGGAACUGAAACAUCUAAGUACCCCGAGGAAAAGAAAUCAACCGAGAUUCCCCCAGUAGCGGCGAGCGAACGGGGAGGAGCCCAGAGCCUGAAUCAGCAUGUGUGUUAGUGGAAGCGUCUGGAAAGGCGCGCGAUACAGGGUGACAGCCCCGUACACAAAAGCGCAUGUGCUGUGAGCUCGAUGAGUAGGGCGGGACACGUGGUAUCCUGUCUGAAUAUGGGGGGACCAUCCUCCAAGGCUAAAUACUCCUGACUGACCGAUAGUGAACCAGUACCGUGAGGGAAAGGCGAAAAGAACCCCGGCGAGGGGAGUGAAAAAGAACCUGAAACCGUGUACGUACAAGCAGUGGGAGCACCCUUUGGGGUGUGACUGCGUACCUUUUGUAUAAUGGGUCAGCGACUUAUAUUCUGUAGCAAGGUUAACCGAAUAGGGGAGCCGGAGGGAAACCGAGUCUUAAUUGGGCGUUAAGUUGCAGGGUAUAGACCCGAAACCCGGUGAUCUAGCCAUGGGCAGGUUGAAGGUUGGGUAACACUAACUGGAGGACCGAACCGACUAAUGUUGAAAAAUUAGCGGAUGACCUGUGGCUGGGGGUGAAAGGCCAAUCAAACCGGGAGAUAGCUGGUUCUCCCCGAAAGCUAUUUAGGUAGCGCCUCGUGAAUUCAUCUCCGGGGGUAGAGCACUGUUUCGGCUAGGGGGCCAUCCCGGCUUACCAACCCGAUGCAAACUGCGAAUACCGGAGAAUGUUAUCACGGGAGACACACGGCGGGUGCUAACGUCCGUCGUGAAGAGGGAAACAACCCAGACCGCCAGCUAAGGUCCCAAAGUCAUGGUUAAGUGGGAAACGAUGUGGGAAGGCCCAGACAGCCAGGAUGUUGGCUUAGAAGCAGCCAUCAUUUAAAGAAAGCGUAAUAGCUCACUGGUCGAGUCGGCCUGCGCGGAAGAUGUAACGGGGCUAAACCAUGCACCGAAGCUGCGGCAGCGAACGUAUCACUUAAAGCGAUUCAGCGGGUUACGAUUGACGGAGCGAAGCGACGUCAAAGCGUAUACAAAGUCGAGUCGGUUUAAGGAUACGUUCGUUGGGUAGGGGAGCGUUCUGUAAGCCUGUGAAGGUGGCCUGUGAGGGUUGCUGGAGGUAUCAGAAGUGCGAAUGCUGACAUAAGUAACGAUAAAGCGGGUGAAAAGCCCGCUCGCCGGAAGACCAAGGGUUCCUGUCCAACGUUAAUCGGGGCAGGGUGAGUCGACCCCUAAGGCGAGGCCG